rnacentral:rRNA from 1 species
GAUGAACGCUAGCGGCGUGCUUAACACAUGCAAGUCGAACGAGAAUCUGUGGAAAGAGGAUUCGUCCAAUUGAAGCAGAGGACAGUGGCGGACGGGUGAGUAACGCGUGAGGAACCUGCCUUUCAGAGGGGGACAACAGUUGGAAACGACUGCUAAUACCGCAUGACACAUCGGAGUCGCAUGGCUCUGAUGUCAAAGAUUUAUCGCUGAAAGAUGGCCUCGCGUCUGAUUAGCUAGUUGGUGAGGUAACGGCCCACCAAGGCGACGAUCAGUAGCCGGACUGAGAGGUUGAACGGCCACAUUGGGACUGAGAUACGGCCCAGACUCCUACGGGAGGCAGCAGUCGGGAAUAUUGCGCAAUGGAGGAAACGUCUGACGCAGUGACGCCGCGUAUAGGAAGAAGGUUUCGGAUUGUAAACUAUUGUACGUUAGGGGAAGAUAAAAGACAGGUACCUAAGGAGGAAGCGUCCGGCUAACUACGUGCCAGC